GUGAUUCUGUCUCGUUCCGCGCAGCGUGAUUCUGUCUCGUUCCGCGCAGCUUCCGAAUAACGGAAAUCCCAGGACGAGAACUUCCGGUCAAAGUUUUUCUAAUUGAUCGGAGUGAGACAGGUUGGGUAAGAGAGCCGUAGUGACCAGAGGGACGAGGACGGCCGAUUUUCACCAGCUUUUACGGACAACGGGUGUGCCACGGGAAGCUCGUGGAAUCUUCCAAUUCGACUAAGAAACUCGAACGACGUUGCUGGCAGUUUAAUCGAAUUCCACUGCGGAGACCGGAACUUGGAUCUGCGGCUCAAAGCACAACACUUGGCCCUGUUAUACUGUAAACAACGUCCUCGUGUGUGCAGCCAUGGCGCCCGCCGCCGAAGAAGUCGCUGAAAGGAAUUAAAUAAAGUAUGCUGCACGCUCCGCGAUAUUAUGUAUACAUACAUACCAACCGUGAAACACAAGGAGAUUGUGCUGUCCUCGGUGUCGCCGAAGGAUUUAUACUGUUGUGGUUCACGUGGAAUCGUAACGCACGAAUAAUCGUGAUCCAUGUUCGGGAAAAUGGUGCACAGCUCUUACAUAGAAUCGCCGGCGAAUAAAUUGCGUUGAGAGGAGCUAAGAAGAUGUCGUGAUUAAAUUGGCCGUUUCGUAAUCAAAUGCCGCAGUAAUGGUACGUAAACGUAGCGCGGCCGGUCACGAGACGGAAACGCGGCCAAAUGUGCUUUUCGUGAGUGUUGCACGGCUUGCGCAUAAAUUUCUCGGCGUGGACGUUGGUCUCGAUCUACGGGGAUGACAGAGCCGACGGCGUACGUGAGCAAGCCACAUUAGCGACAAACAGUUCGAGCGUGCUAAUAGCGCCGAGAGGGACGCCAUAGUUCCAGCAACGGUGGAAAACCGUGCGGAACGGCCAGCAGAAUUUGUUUUUCUAGAUAACAAGGUAGCAGAGCAGCGGCGCCAGUGGAUCUGGAUCGGGCAGCAUAUCGUAUUAACCGUGGCGAUCAAACGAGCUCGAAUCAAUCGGCCGCAAUUGUAGCGGACGCGAACAUGAUCCGCUUGCGACAACGACACCGGUGCGGCCGCGAGAUAAAAGUUAAUGGACUAUGCGGGAACGUUUCUAUUAAAUUAAUUUCGGGCACCGACGGGUCGCCGCAUUGUCCCGAGCGGCGCGGGACUCGUGGACCCCCGCGAUAUUUUUCUAAUUAUGAGACCCUGUCCAUAGGAAAUUGCGCAAUUAAUAGUCCCUGUUUCGCGAACGUAUCGAUCGAUCGAGCGACCAGUCGCCGGCCCUGCGAUGGCACGCGAAAAAUAUUACAAUCGACCCCGGGCAGCGUAUAAAGGAAUUUUAGUGGGAAUAAAACGGUUGCGCCGGGCGCAGCCAUAAACUCGCCGCGUGAAUAAUAUCGUUCGCCGGUAACUUGUAUCGAUCGACACACGUAUCGGCUACUGAUCGACGCGGAAAUUAAAUUAACCAGCGUUAUGGAGCGCGAAAUUCUGACGUCUUGAAUGGCCCAGAAAAUCGACGGCUUUCAGUCAGCAAGAACGAUUGCGAUUUUCAACGCCGUAUGCGGAACGAUGGUGCGAUCAACCAGAUGGGAAGUUAUUCUAUGGCGAUCCAACGAGGAGUGUUACGACGGAAUUAUUAGCAGUGGAGCACGUUUGUAACGUAAGAACUGCUGUUGCAAUAAUAAAUUACAAUAAGCACGGUAAAACCAUGACUGAUAAGAAGAAGACGUCUUUAUACACCUUUGAAAAUUUUGGAGGAACUGCGAAACGAAUCGUUCUACCACGUCGCCAAUAUUUGUUCGGCUGACAAAUUAGAAUCUGUGGAAUGUCGUAAUGAGUGAGUGUAGUAAUUUAUAGUCACUUUGUAAAUAUCGAUUUUCUUGAUUCUUAGAAUUUGGAUAUUUUUCCUUGUCAAUUAACUGUUACUUUAUGCGUUUAUAGAAUCGCACGAAGAUAGCAAUGAAUAAAGAAUUUUCAAACAUUGUUAUAUGUCUAGCAACUCAUUGAAUGUGUGUGUAGCUGUUAGAUCUUGCAAUUAAUGCAGAUAGUUUUUAUUUUGCAUAAAAAUCUGCGGUCUAGUAAUAAAUUAGUAUCUGUGUAGGUAGGUUUAAGAAGUCAAUGACUGUUCUGCGUAAAAUAAUCUCUUGAGAAAUUAUUAUAUUACACCAUUGAGGGUGAUCUCUAGUUAUCAAUAUUUAAUCUUUACCCUCCAAAUAAUCUUCAAAGCGAUCAGUAAAAUCAUAAACAUAAUAAUCGAAAUUAACUUCUGUAUUUAACAUUUUUACCGAAAAUGUGCUAUUUUCGAGAUAUUUAGAUUUGAAGUUUCCAAAUGAACACGUUAUAUACAGAAUAUACAGCAAAAAUAUAAGCAAUACCAUCUGUUUAUAAACGUACAAUCUCCGAUUCCAUGAAUAUUUGACAAGGGCGAAAUUUCGAUUGAAAUAAUCGAGAAUAGUGAAGGAGAAUGUAGAAUAAAGUUCUCCGUAUCAAUAAACUCCGUUGAGGGAAAGAAAUCGAAUGGGUUAUACGAUUCAGGCUCUCCGGGGCGGCGCAGGAAAGUUAAGGAAAAGAUAGUGGUUGACAGAAAAACGGGGGCGGCGUGGAUUUCAUUCGUUCAGGCACGGCAAACCGAAAUGUCUAAUGCGAUUUUGAUGCGAGUCCCCUCGAGGAAGAUAGCGGGAGGCUCGAAACCGCGCCAUAUUAAAAUUCUCGUUUGCCGUGAAAUGUAUUUAAACGAUCCCGCGAAUGAAUUAAUAUUUUCUACGGAGCGAACGACACACGGAAUCGAUAACGAGCAGCUGUGUGAAACGCUAAAUUGAAAAUAAUAUAUUUCUUCGUGCUUCGGAUUUCAUCCCUCGCGCGUGAUGGCAUUGCGGUCACACGCACCGUUCCCAGCUGGUUCCCGCAGGAAUACAGAAAUAGAAAAUUCAUAAUGCAUUCGAGCAUGUUAGCAAAACACCGGGGCACAAUAAUCGAGCGGCACUCGCGGUUCCUAGGCUCCGCGAAAUUGCAAUGUAAAUUGAUGGGUUCGCUACGGAAAUGGUCACUGCUUUCGCCCGCAAAGGGCUAGGGUCUAGAUUUCCAAUAGGCUUCAAAUUAACAAUUUUUGUGAAAAAUUAUUUCGGUGAAGGUUUUACUAAUAUUAGAUCAAUUUUUUUUCUACGAUCAUUCUUAUCUACAAGGGAUAUUAUAUUCAUUAUUUUCUACAAGGGAUAUUAUAUUAAUUAUUUUCUACAAUGGAUAUAUAAUAUUCAUUAUUUUCUACAAAUUCUUACCAUAAUUGUUCAAACCAUACAUUUGAUCUUCCGAAGAAAACUCAAGGUUUCUUUUUCAAUUUUAUUGAGAUUAAAAAAUGUUUUUGAUGACCGAAACUACCCUGACUUGAUAUCGCAAAUUCUUUUUUUUUCCAACGAGCCUAGAAUCGCCAUCCUAAAACCUUAUGGCACCAAUGAAUACAUGAAUAGCAUGGUCGCAGCUGCAAUGUUUGGCUUUCUAAAUUUUAGCUGUAUUUGUAAUUCCCUUUGGACCACUGCGAUUGAUUUCUAAAUUUUUUGGUGCAUUUACGAUUGAAUAUUGAAAGGUCGGGAUACAAUCUGAAUUUUUUGGUCAAUUAAGAAUGUUAUAGUGUAAAAGUGUUCUAGUAUUUGGUCAGAGAGGUUAACAGUGAACGCUCACUAUGAGAAUUGAUCCAAGAAAUACCUGGGGCUGCAGUUUUAAUCAUUCGAUGGAAAGUGUUAUUGGACGAGCCAAUUAAUUAUAUUAGUAUUCUGUAUAAAUUGCAUAAGAUCGCCUAUCGACACUUCGGCAACAUGCAUAUGCAUAUACUGUUAUAUUUGCAAAGCAAAUUGGAUAAUUGAUGAAAUACGUUCGUUUAUUGGUAUUAUUGGCUAAUUACUAAACUGCGAACGUUCGUGAAAAUCACGGCUUUCGGCAGCCAAUUACUGCGAAAGGGGUUUCUACUUGCCACUACUUGUGCAAAUAUUUUCACCAGGUAUUAUAAAAUUAUUCAGUCAGUUACAAUUUAUUCGCGCAAUAUUAUUUUUGAUAAAAAAAAAGUUUUUAUUCGCGGCAUAACAUGUAAUAAUUUUUUAAACAGGCUAUUUAUUUCACGUUAAAAACUGCUUUCAUCCCCUCAAAAAGGAUAACAGUGAGAGAUAUCGACACGGUAUUUUAUGACACAUUAUUUCUCGAAGUCGAGAUCGGAUGCUAUCAAUUGUGUUCCUCGGAAGACACUUCCGUUGUCUUCUUGUUAUCAUGAACGCGACGCGUAACAAUGUUAUCCGACCAAGACACGACGCACCAGCAACGCGGUCGCUUUGUAACCUGUAAGUCAAAGCUUUGUCUUCGAGCCUGAGGUCAAAACCAAACACCUCCGCUGUGUUCGCCAUUGGACUUCAAACUUGAUACUCUAUUUUCAAUUAAUCGAUAAUACUAACUGUCCCACUUUAUAUAAUUGGUCAUUUCGCAGACAAUUAGCAAACUAAUAAUUUCCAGGAGGAGAAAGUCGUUUCAGCAUUUACGUACAUUUGUAAUCUCGAUCAAAAACCUUAAUCUGUUCUUCACUUGCUUCACCAUGUAAACCGCACAGUUUAAAAAAAAAACCGGGCAAAAAAUCAAUUUCUUUUAAUGUAAGGUCCUUAAGGUUGUUCGUUAACGUAGGCGUAAGAUAUCUGAAAAAAUGAAAGUAAUACUGCACGAGUAAAACAUAAUUACUUUCACUUAUACUUCAUAAAAAUAUUGACCAAAUUUAUUAUUAAGAUAAUUUAGAGUCAAGUUAACUUUAUAGUUUAUUUCACUUGUCUUUUUAAUAUUUUGACGUUUGAACGUUUUAAGAGAUAAGUGAAAGUUUUCGAAAAUAUAAUUAAAAAAUUUACGCCACACACACACGCACACAUUACGAUUCUAUACAAAUUGUGGGAUAUCUAUCCAAAUUUUCACAAAUUGUUAAAAUGACUGUGUCGCACUUGUGCAAGUGAAUGCAUUUGAUAGAAUAAAUGAGUCGAGGUUUACGGUUGCAUGAUUCUUUUUAAAAACAUCAUUGCUAUCUAAACCGCACAAAAGUGAUUAGCGUUUUCAUUCUUGGUGAUUUACUAAUUCCCGAGAAUUCCCCCCAAAUGUAGAAAAUGUUAAGUAGGGAUAGAACGACAUGCAAAAACAGUGAUAACUAUUGGAUGCCAUUGAUGUUUAUAUUAUCUCUGGUAAUCCGUGUCUCCAUUGAAAAAAAAAUCAAGACGAGCAGAUUCGAGGGCGAGUGUUUUCGAAGAGAGAAACAAUAUAUCUUCGCACUUCACGUGUACGCGUUCACCUGCACUUUCGACGAGCUAGGAACAACGAGAGGUCAACGGGGUGCGGGGUUGGGUUGGUCGAGGGUGAUAUUCUCUUGCACCCUUCGUUUUCAUCGACGUAGAUACACGGUAUAGGUGUAUGGCAACACGGACGUACAUUUGCAGCCCACUAGAGUAUCAUAGAUCAUUAUUUAGCAUACGUUCCUCGACGGUCGACGGCCGACGGUCGCUGGGGUUUGGGGAACAGAGGCGAGAGGAACAUCCAGCGUGGCGCGACAGGUGACCGGUCGCAGGACUGUUGCAGGAAAUGUAGAUGAAACAGAGACGCAUCCUUUUUAUUUUUGUUCACCUGCCGCCGGCUGUCCUUCGGCUAUGGCCGGUUUCGUCGUCUCGGUUCCACCGAACCGGCUUGACAGGGAUUUAUUAUCAUCGACGUGGCAGCGACACAAAACAUGAUGAAUCGAGUGCGCUGCGCCCGUUGGCGCGUCGCACGAUGCCGUGCCACUGUGACCCAGACUUAUAAUACAUUUUAAUUAAUCGUUCCGGCCAGAUUAAUUUGUCAUCGGCCGGUCUGACGAGAUCCGGACCGCCGAGAUUGCGGACUUUUUUCAGUCGUCGGGAUACCGUCGUAUUUUAGCUGCUCCGGGAGCGUUGGAUUUCGCGGAUAUUCUGAGCCCGGGUGACAAAUUAAUAAACGAGAAUUUGCGAAAAUAUUUCGAAUUCCCGGCGUAGGUACAGAGUAGCGAUCAUAAAUUGAAUAUAGUAAUUAAUCUCAAACGUAAGGCUGCGAAGUUUAAGCAAGACACUGUUGUUUUUAUGUUGCUUGACAGCGAGAAACUUUUCCGAAUUCGUUCGUUAUAUUAGUAUACGAUUAUCAGAAUUCGUAUGCAGUCUCUGGUUGAUUUAAAUUCAUUUACGAAGCAUAAAAGUAUGGAUUAAUUAUCGAAUUUAUUA